GCAUAUCAAUAAGCGGAGGAAAAGAAACUAACAAGGAUUCCCUUAGUAACGGCGAGUGAAGAGGGAAGAGCUCAAAUUUUAAAUCUAUCAUGUUUGUACAUGAUCGAAUUGUAAUUUGAAGAAGCGUUUUCUCGUACUUUAUGCAAUCAGUAUAAGUUCUCUUGGAACAGGACAUCAUAGAGGGUGAUAAUCCCGUCUGUUACUGGUUGUGAGGUUCGUUAUGAUACGCUUUCAAAGAGUCGAGUUGUUUGGGAUUGCAGCUCCAAAUGGGUGGUAAACAUCACCUAAGGCUAAAUAUUUGCGAGAGACCGAUAGCGGACAAGUACCGUGAGGGAAAGAUGAAAAGAACUUUGAAAAGAGAGUUAAAAAGUAUGUGAAAUUGUUGAAAGGGAAACGAUUGAAGUCAGUCGUGCAGUCAUCAAUUCAGCGGUUAACAUUUUAUGUUUCCGUGUAAUUUGGUGUCUGUUGGUUAGCAUCAAUUUUGAUUGUUAUAAAAAGGUUAAGGGGAUGUGGCUCCUUCGGGAGUGUUAUAACCCUUAGCGUAAUGUAACGAUUAGGAUUGAGGUUUGCAACGAAUACCUUUUAGGGCAGUUUCACCUGGCCUCUCGUGGAAUUAUAGAUAGUUAAGAGCAUGCUCUUACUGUCUAUGAUUCUACGAAAAGGUUGGAGUGUAAAACUAAUUCGUUAAGGAUGUUGACGUA
rnacentral:rRNA from 1 species